rnacentral:misc_RNA from 1 species
GAUGAAGAACGUAGCGAAAUGCGAUACGUAAUGUGAAUUGCAGAAUUCAGUGAAUCAUCGAGUCUUUGAACGCACAUUGCGCCCCCUGGUAUUCCGGGGGGCAUGCCUGUUCGAGCGUCAUUUCACCACUCAAGCCUCGCUUGGUAUUGGGCAACGCGGUCCGCCGCGUGCCUCAAAUCGACCGGCUGGGUCUUCUGUCCCCUAAGCGUUGUGGAAACUUUCGCUAAAGGGUGUUCGGGAGGCUACGCCGUAAAACAACCCCAUUUCUAAGGUUUACCUCGGAUCAGGUAGGGAUACCCGCUGAACUUAAGCAUAUCAAUAAGCGGAGGA